rnacentral:rRNA from 1 species
CUAAUACAUGCAAGUCGUACGCACUGGCCCAACUGAUUGAUGGUGCUUGCACCUGAUUGACGAUGGAUCACCAGUGAGUGGCGGACGGGUGAGUAACACGUAGGUAACCUGCCCCGGAGCGGGGGAUAACAUUUGGAAACAGAUGCUAAUACCGCAUAACAACAAAAGCCACAUGGCUUUUGUUUGAAAGAUGGCUUUGGCUAUCACUCUGGGAUGGACCUGCGGUGCAUUAGCUAGUUGGUAAGGUAACGGCUUACCAAGGCGAUGAUGCAUAGCCGAGUUGAGAGACUGAUCGGCCACAAUGGAACUGAGACACGGUCCAUACUCCUACGGGAGGCAGCAGUAGGGAAUCUUCCACAAUGGGCGCAAGCCUGAUGGAGCAACACCGCGUGAGUGAAGAAGGGUUUCGGCUCGUAAAGCUCUGUUGUUGGANAAGAACGUGCGUGAGANUAACUGUUC